rnacentral:rRNA from 1 species
UACGUAGGGUGCAAGCGUUAGUCGGAAUUACUGGGCGUAAAGCGUGCGCAGGCGGCUUUGCAAGACAGAUGUGAAAUCCCCGGGCUCAACCUGGGAACUGCAUUUGUGACUGCACAGCUGGAGUGCGGCAGAGGGGGAUGGAAUUCCGCGUGUAGCAGUGAAAUGCGUAGAUAUGCGGAGGAACACCGAUGGCGAAGGCAAUCCCCUGGGCCUGCACUGACGCUCAUGCACGAAAGCGUGGGGAGCAAACAGG